UUAUGGGCACUGUGAUGGUGAAAUUUUUUUACAAAAGGUGUAGGACAGAUAAGCUUUUUAAGUACAGAAACGUAGCUUUUGCUGAAAUAAUGGUUGCCCAGAUAUCUUUAGGCUUUCAAAUGAUGCUAUGUAAAUAUGUCAAGAUCGUCAAUUGAUGCGUGAAUUAAAUGACUGACAUAUUCUUGCAUAGAGUUGUCUUAAGGUUGCAUUCACUGUCAAAUGCCAUGCAUUUGUCGUGUGCCCUGCAGCUGUCUCCUCCCCAUGUUGUCGACCUUUCCUUCAAUCCAGAUUUUGGUAAUUGACUUCAGAUGAAACAAAGAUACGAUAGUAGACAUGUUUCUGACAGUCAAAGGUGUCUCGCACGCUUAUGUUGAUUCAGUUCUUGAUCUGGCUUCGCACGCUUAUGUUUCAUUCAAAUCGUUCCCAAACCACAAGAACAUAACCAGUCAAAAGGCGCCAGCAGCGAAUACAAUUCAGACAUAAUCCAAAAAUAAAAAAUAAAAUGCGACGCAUUGUCGAAUCAACAGUACACAAUUCGCAAACCUCCCCUUCCCCACCAAGCCUGAAUUUAGGCAUAAUCAGGCAGAAACGCGAGGCGUUGACGAAUUGACACUACACGAUAAGCAAUCCCCCCCUUCCCCUAAUCCUGAAUUCAGGCAUAAUCAGAAGAAACACGACGUGUUGACAAAUCGUCAACGAACAUUACCCCCACAGUUACCAAACGAAUUCGAGCCAUGAAUCUACUCCAGAUCAUCUCCAACCCAGCGAAAGCCAAUUUAACCCCCACGAAAACACGAUUAAACAGCGCAGCUUGAUCCGAAGAAACCAUCGCCUCCGACCCAAUCCAUAAUGGACUAUCAGAUAAACAAAUUUGAGGAAUUCCUCUCAGCACAACCAACCCAGGCAACAAAUAUAUUUUUGAAAAUAAAAGAGAGAAUGUAACGAAAAUGCGUUGGGGUAAUCUAGCAUCGUGAAGUCCCAUAAUCCAUUUACUCUCUCUCACACACUUUAUUUGGGUUCCUAACUGACCCAUCAAAAGCUUAUUAGGUCUCGCGGUGAUGCUUGGCCUUGAUUGAUGGCACGGCGAGGGUGGGUGGUCUUGACGUGAUGUGACUCACGUCCGUGGGGUGGUGCUUAUGCGGCUCUCGGUGAAUCCAAGUCAACAAUUGAAUCUCUCUGUGAAGCUUCAUUGAGUUUGCCUAUGGCCAACAAAGCACCCAAAGUACCAAGUUUUCCCCCCAUUCCCUGGGGAAUUUCUCACGCCACCAUGUCAAACAUAUUGCUCGAUCUAGUCUUUUUAUUUAUUAUUGUGGAUAUAUGUUAUGAUGAUUGUCUCUCAAUGUUAGUAAUUUCUUUUGGUUGGAUUGUUUUCAAGAUAUUGUUUCCGGGUUGCCACAUACAAUUUAUAUUUUAACAGUGGAUAUAAUUUAAGAUUGGGAAGGACUUGAAGAUCUAUGUAGCAAUUGUUGUUUAUAUGUAUGGGUGUGGAACUCGAUAUGUGAUACGUAUGACCCCAUAUUUGAGGUUGAUGGGUUAUCACAAAUUCGUACGAGAACAGCACCAAAGAGAGUAAUCAUCGGACGGAACUUUAACUCAAAGAGAGAGGGUGAGCCAAGCGAGUCCAACUGGGCAAGGGUAUUGAGUGUGUGAAAGCCCACAACUUAGUGAUAAUGGUGGCGGCAGCGAUGGCCAACUAGUACCAAUAUGCUCAAGCAUCUAGUGGUGGAGGUGGCACCAAGUCUUGGGGCCAGUAUAGGUGGGUGACUUUGGAAGCGCUACCAAUGGCCACGACUAAGUGUAGCAUAAUUGCCAAGUUCGCUCAUGGCGGUGGCGGCAUUAAAUCACAAUGACUAUGAGCAGCAAGUGAUGAAAUUGUUUUGAGUCCGAAGGUAGCUCAGUUUGUUCUCUUACUCUCUUUUUCAUAUUCUCCACGCUGUAAAUAAGGGUUUGCUUAUGGUGCCGAGAGCACAAUGUUGAAAGCCGUCGGGUCAUUUUUAUCAAAGUACGAUACAAAGCAUUUUGAGUUACAACAUCUCAAUGAUAAUUACAUGAAAUAAUUAUAUUUACAAUCAAAUUCACAUUUGACACAUUAUUAAUGUGUUACGUAACACAAUGCUACACAUCUAAAAUAUGAAUUUUCACACAUUUAAUUACCCUUCUCGCCUAAUUUGAACUUUGAUUUAGCAAGAAUAGCAUUUCAUCUUCCAUCGACCAGAACAAAGUCACUAACACGUACAUGUUCUAAUCAAUCUCCAUUGUGGAAAUGGCUUCAUCUAUUAUUUCCUUAAGUUCCUUCAUUCUUUGCCCGGUCAAUGCAACGCAUUCCUGCAAGCACAGCGACAUUUCCCAUCAUCAUCACAUUAAAGCUACCAUUUGGACUAUUAUACAAUCUCUAUAUGAAAGGCGUUGAAAGGUAUACACCCCAUAUAUAUAGUUUUUCCCUUUCUUUCCCUGGGAUAGAAAUAGAUUCAUUUUAAAAACCAAGGAAAUGAAAACAUUAAAAUGAAAGAUCAACCAGAUGGGCCAAGGAACUACCAACAUCCUAAAGUCCACUAAUCCUGGCAAAUAACUACGUGUGGGUAAUCAUGUAUAUAAAAGCAGACGCAGUUGCUUAUCCAAUGAGCGCUACAUUACUUCGUAUAUUUCAGGCUAUUAGCUCUUGAAAACACUCGCAGCUGGAUUGUCAUGUCAUCCGCUGAACCACCAUAAGCUUAUCAACUUCCACAAGUUCUGGAGUGUUCUAAAUGCCACAUUGGGCUUGUCCACUAACCAACCACGAGUUACUUUAAAGAACUCAAGAUCUGUUUUUUGCACAAUUAAACUGACUGGAGUACAGUUAGAGCAAGAAUGCAGUUGACUCAACAGUAUCAAAGCCACCAACCAUUUGAUCCCUAUCGCACGAAACAGGGCCUCUAAGUACAAUUCUCAAACAAUGAAUGAACAACUAAAUAAAUGAGGAAUGAGGAGAAAAUAACCUGAAUAGCUGAUGUAUGUGCAAGAACCGGUCCACCUGGCUUAUAGAGAGAGACAAGUUGACCAGAUGAAUUCAAAACCACAGUCAUGAACGUUUCCAAUAUGGACUCUUCGAAAGUAGGGUCUGCCAAGAUGUGGUUCUUGUGAAGAAUGCAAAUCAGGGAAAACGGAAUGCUUUUCAACAAGAGUUUUCUCCUCUCUUUGUCGACAGGUUCUUUAUCCAACUUUUCACCCUCAAGUUCCUCAGAGACCAUCACCAUUCUCCCUUCAUCAUUCAAAGAAACCCCUGGGAUACGCACUACAAGGUCCAAAACAACACGACUUGUCAAGUGAUUGUCCAGGAAGUGACAUGAAAUCCCCAGAAGAAUAGAGGGGAAGACAUGAAAUCCCCAGAAGAAUAGAGGGGAAAAAAAAACACAUAGCAUGAUAUGAGGAUGCAAUCUUUGGUACCACACUCAAAGAAUAUCAAAAGUGAGAACGUAAACAAGGCAUGACAGAUGCAGCAAAAGAAAAGGAAAAAGCCUUUUGAAUGUUCGUCAAAUGAAAAAUCAUUGAUAGGAGCCAGAUCUUCCUUAAAUCAUAAGUUUCAACCUGAGAUUAUUGCACUGGAAAUCCAAACAUCUAGGACGAUGUUCAAUAGAAUCACGAAACUUCUCGAAUUUUCAAUGAAGCCCUGUAACUUCUUAAGAGAUUGCAUGAGCAGUUUGUAUAAGACCGGUGCUCUUAUCCAUCUCAUUGAAGAAUAGAGGAUUAUUGAACUGGGUCUUCCUUUAUUGGUAGAGAAAUGAGAAACCAUGAAAUGUUUGACAUCAACGGCUUUCCUGGUCUGAUCAAAAUCAGGCUAAGAGCACAAAGGAAGAUUUUGUCGAUCACCAUUGACUUUAGCAAAGGCGUGUGGCAUAAAUACGACUCUUCCUGCCUUAGGUGAUUCAUAUUGCUUUUCUCUGUCAGCAGCUCCUAGCAAAUAUUUAUUUGAAAUGCAAAUUGGUAGAGCUAAAGUCCCUUCAUAAGCAAAUCACCUUAAGAAUUUAUUAAGCUAGAGCUAUCUGACAUUCAUAAGCAAGUCACACAUCUUUUCCAAUCAUAGACAACUGCAAUUUGAAGCAUGAUCACAAGAUGUAAUAUAUUGAAGAUCCACUUUAUAUCAACUCACAAAAGUCAUCACCCAAUUGGUAGAAUAGGCUAUGCAAGAAAAAGAAAGCCAAAAAUCAAGUUAAACAAAAAUGUCACCAUCUAAAUUGUAAAGCAGGAACUAUCUUACCAUGAGAAAAUGCAGCAACCGCUGAAAGCAAAGCAGCAUCAAAAAGAGCUCCAUCAGCAUCAAGACUAUAUAUAUCCUGCAACACAUGAAAAAUAAAUGUAAGCAAGAACAUUUUGAGCCAACAUGUAUGGUAUUUAUUGAAGUAGCUCUCCCAGCAAAAAGUUGCCCCCAGUCACAAGGUCCAAAGAUUAAUGCAGCUAAAAGGAAAACCCUGCACUCUAUCCUAAAUUACGCAUCACAACAUCUGGCAUGAAGUAUUACCAGGUACACCAUCCAAGCUGCUUCUCCUUUGAUCAGGAAUAGCUCCUUCAGAUCAAUCAUUCCAGAGCUGCAAUAACCAAAUGAUUACUGAUUCCAGCAUAUGAAUAUUAACCAGCACAUGACCCAAGAAGGUAUUAAAACAUAAAAUUGUUUUAAGAAACUGCAAUAUAAUUGUCCAAGAAUUAAAUGACACAAUGACCAGUGCCAAAGGAAGAUAAGAAAGCACAAAUCAUGGACUUGAGGGAAACCUUAUGACCCAUUUAGUAAGGUAUGUAGUAUUAACUCUAACAGCAUCCUUCGAUGAUAAUCUACUACCUUUGAACCUAUGGGUUAUUUUGGGACACAAAUUGAUCAUAAGAGAAUAUAUGGGGAUCUGGACUUAGUAGAACCUGUAGGAACCCUUCCAAGUGUACUCGCAAGGUAUCUGCAACUAAAUUGAAGCUGUGCAGGGCCGACAUCUCCAUGAAGUGUAGGUCACACUGAAAAAGUGAAUGGUCUUUCCUCCACCUUCCCUUCGGGAAACAAAUUGGUAUUUGAGUUUGAAUGCUUGGAAACACACUAUGAAAGCCAGAGCAAAGAAAAAUCAAUGUUUUCCUGUAACCAAGAGCAAGUUUACUCUUCACAUAAUCUCUAUCCUGAAUACAAGUCUAAGUGACAACAAACCCUUUUAACUUCUGUGGCAUUCAGUAGACUUUCCAAAGAGUUAUCCCACUUUGUUUAUUUGAGAGUUAGCAGCAGGCUUUACGGGGCCAAGAUUGGUGCUACUCCACAUGAUCUGUGUAAACUUAUUGCUAACUGAUCAAGUGACUUUCUGAAGUUUUGCUUCAACAGAAGAGUAACAUUACAUGCCUAUUUAGUAGACUCAAUGGAAUUUUCCUUAUUGAAAACAAUCAAAAAGUUCGGUCAAAAUAGUCACAGGCACAAGGUGGAUACGGUUUGGAACUUUAUGCCUUUCAUAUGCAUUAGCAAGACACCAACAAAUAUACAGAUGGCAUACAACAAGGUAUUGUUAAUAGCAUAUCACCCUUCCCCUGAAGCAACAGGAGAAAAAUAAAAGAUUUAAAAAGUCAAAGCAAGCUGGAAAAAAAGAAAAUGGAACUUUACCAAUUUCACAUGCCUUAAUAAAGAGUCAAAAGUUGCUUUGACGUUACUGGUGCUGCCUCAGCAGGCCUACCUGGCCUCACGACUGGAGAGCAUAUAGGGGGCAUAUGAAACUCAACCGCUGAAAAUAACACAAAGUCACACGACAGCGUCACACAAACCCUAGUAAAAAGAAAAUUGAUCAACUGGUACAUGGCUGCUUACCUAUACUGCCUUCACCAGGUGAAUAAACAGGAGUCAUGACUUCUAUUUUUAUAGCAGCCAACAUUGUCUGUGGAAAAUAUGAUUGCGCGUGCUUUAAUUAAAUGUACUGGCAAAAGAGCAAACCCUAUAACCUUCACAACAAUAACAAUUAAUGUCCACCUUAAAUGAUUUGCUCACAUGUAAAAGUUAAACAACAAAUCAAAUAAAAAGGAAAAGAUAGAAUUUUUAUGUUGGUUCAGCUACAAGUAAAUACAGAUGCAACUACUUUGAACAUGCUUAAGUGCAGGAGGGCGUUGGCAUAUGCAUCACAUUGACACAAGAGACUGAAGAGGUGAAAAACUCAUGGUGGAACCAAUCUUUGCCAGCAGAGACCCGUCAGAGGAUGCAACAGCCCCUGCAUUAUCAAUGCUAAUCAAUGACAGGAGGAAUACAACUUGCGUGGGCUUGAUGAAGGAGGAAAAAACAAAUCACCAGAUAAACAAAAAGCUAAACGAACUGACCGAGGGACACAAUCGUAUCUCUGGUUUUUUUCCAGGGGUCUAGCAUCGGGCGUAUCGAUUCGGAGAGAUGCCGCUCAUAGUAGUGAACGGGGAAGAGGCGUCUGAAAGCAUUGACCUCCAUCUCCGACGACCAAUCUCCGGCAGCAUUCGGCGUCCCCAUUUUAUGGCUAUCUACAGAUGGAGAUUUCCGGCAAAGAGAACCGAGAUUAAAACUGCGAAUUAAAAAGAGCCCAUUAAGGUUAACCCCAUAUAUGUCCCAACUCUUUACAAAAAAUUGAAAUUUACUGAUAAAACACUAAAAUUUGUGCCAACCCACGAGCAAGGUGAGAGCAACCAUCUGGUUUUCUCAAAAAGGAACGGUUUUUUUUCCUCUGGGCAGCAUUUAUUCAAGCACACUAGACAUAUACAAGUGAGAAGUUUCGACGAAGGACUCAGAAGAUAAUAAGGCAAUCUCUCAGCAUCGCAUACGGUUCAAAAGCAAUAAAACAAACAGAUGGAGAUCGUGCACGAGUAAAAGAGUAAAGAUGGAGUCUUUCGGAAGAAGCACCAAUCUCCGAAGUAACCCGGCUGUUACCUGUAAGCUCGAAGCCCAGCUCCGAUGCCGGUAGCCACAAAGAGAGAGACGUUAGGUUAAGAGCAAGAGCAAGAGCAAAAUCGGCGCGAAUAAUGCCGAGCUUUUGCAAAAUAUAUUCGUCAAAUUGAAUUUUUUUUUUCCGACCAAAAAACAAGUUAGUGCUUUCGCCUCGUACACAUGCAGAUCGAAAUGCUGACGUGAUUUUUCAUUGAUUAGUUUUAAAAAAAAAUCUAAAUAACGACAUGAAGUAUUAUUAUUCUCUCAAAUAAGAGUCCAAAGUAUACGUUAUUUUAAAUAAAAGGCCCGAAGUGACCAAAUCGUCUCAAAUAAAAGUGGAACUUAUUAAAUUAAGCAUAUUAGUUUUAAAAAAGGGAUUUAACCUCUCUGAUUGAAGAGCAUUUCCAUCUUUUAUCUUAAAAAAAAAAUCUUUUUUUUUUCUUUUUUCUUUUUCCCUCUUCCCUUUAUUGGCCAUGGCGAAGGGAAGUUGAAAGGGUCGCCCUCACGUCGAGUGAGGGUAGCCCUCAACCGAUGCCCUCGCCCACGUCAAAUGAGGGUUGCCCUUGUCUAACUCAGGCGACGCCCUCACCAACCUAGGGGAGGGUUGCCCUCGCUUGGCUUAGGCAAGAGUCACCCUUGUCGGAUCUAGCGAGGGCUACUCUCGCUUGACGCUAGCGAGGGUGACCUUCGCCAAGCAUCAACGACCAUGUCCAAAGAAGGGAAGAGGAAAAAGGAAAAGAAAAUAAAAAAGGAAUAAUUUUUUUUUUAAAUAUAGUUAUAAUUUUUUUACCAAAAUACCCCUUCUCUUAUGUCUGGAAAAGUCAGCCUUGGUCAAAGACCCUUAUUUGAGAUGAUUUGAUCACUUUAUGCCCUUAUUUGAAAUAAUUUGGUCACUUCAAGUUUUUAUUUGAAACAAUAUCUACUUUAACCCUUAUUUAAGAAAAUUAGGAUACUUCAUGCCCUUUUUUGAAAUUUUCCCUUAAUUUAAUUAUAGUUGUGGAAAGGAAAGGGUGGAAAAAUUACAAUAAAAAAAAAACCUAGAGAGAAAAAAAGUGAGUGCGAAAGAGAGAGAGAGAGAGAGAGAGAGAGAGAGAGGGAGGGAGAGAGGGUUGUCCAAGGUCGACAAACCUCACCGACUAAGGUGAACCGACAAUGUUGUCACCAAUUGAGUUGGAUUUUUUUUUUUUUUGUGGCUAAAGAAAGAAGGGCAAAUACCACAAAAGCCCCAAAUUAGGUCAAUUAUGACAUAAAUACUCCGAAUUUUUUUUUGUCAAGGAAAAGAAACUUGAACCUAUAUUAUUUAUUUACUCCGAAUUUUUUUUUGUCAAGGAAAAGAAACUUGAACCUAUAUUAUUUAUUUCAAUUCUAUCCAAGAUAUAUUUAUCACAUUAGUAUAAGUUUGGAAUUUGUUAUGUUAUAAAAAAAUUCGAGGUAUUUAUGUCACAAUUGACAAAUUUAAGAUUUUUUUAAUGAUUUUAACCUAAAAAAGAAUUGGACCCAUUUAACUAUGGUCUUUGGAAUAGUUUGAAAUUUUGGGAACGUGGAAAUUCGUUUGUUGCUUCUUUGUUCCUUGUACCCACGGGCAACGGAAUACUUAGAAUUAGAGUUGAUUUUGAUGUCAAUGAUGGAAGAUCGGAGCAUUUAAGGUGAUUUGAAAAUUAGGUCAAGAGAAUAUCUGCAUCUCAUGUAGAUUGGGAGGGACUUGAAGAUCUAUGUGGCCAUUCUUGUUGGAGUUCUUUCUUGAUUUAUGCAACUCGCCGCGCAAAGUCACUUUGGGUGACGGUUGUUGAGGGGUCCAAGCGAGCUGAUGUAACCACCGUCGGUAGCUAUACCAUUGCCUAUACUCUUUUUUUCUUUGUUUACAUACAUGUGAACGCAUGGGCAUUUUUAUGUUCAGUGAUGGAGGUAUGCUAUCUGAACAAUGGAUAUCCAUUCAUGAGCACCUAUUACUGCUAAGCCACGAACUUGAACUAGGAGAUCAACAGAUAGCCCUAGGAUCUCGUACAAUGGAACUCACGUUUAUGGACCUGAACGAACCCAUUAGCAUGAAACAUUUUUUUUAUCCCUCAUUUUGAAGAAAUAAAGGUAUUUACAUGCUUAAAACUCAAAAUACUAGACCUACUUUGGCUAAGGAAAUGCAAUUGUAUCUCCUCAAAAUUCUUAAUUUUUUUUUUACCAAACAGGACAAGAACAUAUAAAGCUUAAAGGCUUUGAAAAAGUAAUUUUUGAAUUCACCCUUGUUGUCAAAUGACACGUGGCAACUAAGUGCUCAUGUUUUCCCCUUUUUUUUAAGAGAUAAUUUUAAUUUAAUCUAAUUUAAAUUUAACUUGUAUUUUAAGGAAAUUAUCUCUUAUCAGCCGAAAAUUGGGUAGCAUUGAUGGGACUCCCGUGCCCUACACAAAUUUGAGAGCCAUGAAAAGACAAGGUAAGAUAAUUGUCAAUUGAUUAGUUGUUUCGACCCAUUUAGUUUAUCCAAUUAAUUUGACCAUAUGAAUAGCAAUCAAUUUCAAUCGCAUGGCUAAAUGGGGAUCACACUCCGUCGAGGGAUAUGAACUUUUCCAAAAGGUGGGGACUUUUAGGGAGUCCAAUUCAUUUCAGUUUGGAAUUUCCAAACUGAAACAGACUUAGGGUGUCCGAAUCAUUUCAGUUUGGAAUUUCCAAACUGAAACUGACUGAUUCGGUCGGACUCCCUAAAAGUUCCCACCAAAUUCCAAACUGAAAUGAUUUGGAAAACAGAGCGUCCUAUAAAUACCAGCGAGUCGCAACUCUCCGCUAAUCAACAUUGUCUGUCCAUUUUGGUCUACACACGAAAGGAAAGACUAGAGAGAGACGGAAGAUCUCGGGAGGCUUUGCGCAAACGAGGACGCUCGCUCGGGUUGCUCCUACCCUCCUCUGCACUCAUCCACGUCCCAGCUCCAGCCCCGUGAGCGACGACGACGGCACUGCCCUCUCCUCCCGCCAAACCUAUCUGAUGUCAUUCCCCUCUCUCCCAAAAAAUAAAAAAAAUCCUCCCUCAAAUUUGGGAUUUUGAAGCUGAGAGCCUGUUUUGAGCUGCAUUUCUUCUUCUCUAGACCUUGAUUCCUUUUGUUCUCUUGUUUCGCUGGGCCCGGCCCGGCGGGAGGCUGUCGUGUCCAUCGCCGAACCUAACGAGCUGCCGCUCCUUCCCACACCUCCGACUACCGGAGACGACGCGGCUUCUCUCUGUCCCAAGCCGCAGCUGUUGCAUCAUGAUCUCGAGCCUGUUUUCGUUGGCUCGGCGUCCCUUGCGGCUUCGUCUUGCAUCGCUACCCGCAGCCGAAAGUCACUACCGAGACGAAUCACCAAUCGUCGGCCGAAUCGCGGCCGCGUGCACCUCGCCGAACCACUACCGUGGCCAUCCUUCGCCAGGGAGCACCGUACCGGUCGUCCGUCGAGCCAAUUCCGAUGAAGUCCAUCCUGUGAAUUUAGGUAAAAUCUCGUCCGAAUUUGUUUGUGGUUUCGCAUGCGAUUGUGCACUCUGAGCAGAAAUCCCCUUCGCUAAAUCUAUUUGCACACGCCUUCAGCUUCUAGAUGAUCUUUUUUUCUUCUUCUUCUUUCGUGUCUGUGUACUGACCGCUUACCAUUAACAUACAGUGUGUUCCCGAGGAUCUCCGUCUUCGUCUCUCUGUGCUCUGCCGGGGAAGCAUUCCAAAAACCUCAGCUCACUUCCUAGCCAGGCCACGCCACACCAAGUUACCAACCCUUUUUUCUCUUCUGGGGAGGGAGAGAGAGGUCUGGAAGUAAUACGCUUCCCAGAUAUGGCACACUCAAAGGCCAGAGCGAUGUGUUCUUGAGUUUUAGUGGAGUGGAUACUCGUUUUGACUUCACAGACUUCCUCAAUAAAGACUUGAAUAAUGCCGGAAUCCGCAUAUUCAGGGACGAAGAGUCAAUCAAGGUGGGUGAUAAGAUUGGUGAGACAAUUCUACAAGCUGUCAACAACUCCAAAAUCUACAUACCCAUCAUCUCUCAAACUUACCCUAACUGCAAAUGGUGUCUUUUCGAGCUUGAACGCAUGAUGAACAAUGUGUCUCAAUCAGAGGGUAGAAAAAGGAUUUUCCCCCUUUUUUAUAAAGUGGAACCUGGGGAUGUUAAACAUAUGACUCCAUGCCCUGACAAUCUUCCCUCCGAAGUUGAACUUAAGGCGCUCAAAGAGACUUGCAAAGAUUGGUCAAAUCAAGGGAUGGAAGGUCGAGGAGUGACAAAGGUAAAACUACCUUUAAGAUGCCUGCCUAAUUCUUCUUUUUUUUUUUUUUUAAGGGGAUAAAACAUUGCCCUAUCAAAUCAUUUAUCUUCUUCUUCUUUUUUAAAUGGAAAAUUUUGAAAACUGCCUUCAACUACAAGUGCUGCUCCUAUUGAACUUUAUAUCCUCUACUGGAGACAUCUUUCCUAAUAUUUCAGUUGUUAUAGCUACUGCUAGCGCUGGGGAAUAUGUCACAGGUUUUGGGAUUAUUCAAUUUGUCAUCACCAAAUUGCAGUGUUCAAAGGAUGACCUAGAAUUUGCCUACAUUUUCUCCCUAUUACUAGUGCUGAAAAUCUUUUCUAGGCUUAGCUAUAAAUGCCGAAAUUUUGCUUGGGCACCAUGUGGUAGCCACUUGGUAAUUUCAGCCAUCAUGUAGACCACUACCAAAUAGAAAAAGGCAUCUGGUGAAUUGAAUUCUACUAAAUUAGCCUAUACUGAUUAUUCUGUGUAUUUAGAUAUUGUUCGUAACCACGUGCGAUGUGUGGGUAUGAAUUAAAUCUAGUCAACUAAUGAAAGCGCUUUUGUGUAUGGCAGCCAAGCAAAAAUUGUCGAUUUGGUCGUUCGAAAGGUUUUGGAGGAGCUAGGUAGAAAAGAUGAGUCACAGACUGAGCAUCCAAUUGAGCUUGAUGACUUGACACAGUCACUUGAAGACUCUUAUAAUCGUGCAGUGAUGGUACCAUAUCUUCUCCCUCGUUAGUAUACAAUUGGCGGACAUGAAUGCAUGGAUUUGAAAUUUGAAUUGUUCUAACCUCGGCUUGAUGCUUUAAUUUGGUGAAAUUACACGGAUUGCAAGAAGUUAAAUGUUAUUCAGAAAUUUACAUGGACAAAAAUAUAUUUUCCGAUCAAUUAGUGUUCCUUCAACACAUUCUUUUUGGUUGGAAAUGUUGUUUCCUAUAAAUUAAAUGAGUACACAAAUACAAGUCUCAUAAACUGUAAUUUUUAAAAUUAUUUCUUGCUGUAUAAUUCAUUGUCGGAUGUUGUGUGAUGUGAUGAUUUUUUUUUUUUCAUACUAUUUGCAACAAUCGCCCUUUUGAACAUUCACAUUGUUGCGUACUAGCCUGCAGAUUUCGAAAAUGGUUUAGCUUAUCCCCUACCUUCUCUAGUUUUUCAGUAUGCAUGACCAUCGAAUGUUACCUAAAAUCUUGUUGUCCUAAAGCAUUAGGACAGGAGGCCAUUCUCCAAAGAUCGAUUAGCAAAAGCGUGGCUUUGUUAAAGCUCGACAGAUUCUCCAACCCCAUUCUGCCUCCCGUUUUCUGCCUUUGCUAGUUCCUCCCAUCUUCUCCGGCGUAUUCGAUUGCCAUUUUAGAAUUUUUCCAACAAAAAAAAAAAAAUCUGAUUUUUCGCUGGAUUGCCCUGCAAACAGAGACUGGAGUUUUAAAUAUUGACAUGGCAUGGGUUGGCAGUGCAUGCGCUACUGUUUUAAUAAGUACUUUUUUCCUAGCUUUCAACAGUCUCUUUUCCUUUCCUCCCCCCACCCCCCUUCAAGUUUCGAAAAUUCUUCCAUACAAUGAAUUGCAAAAGACAGAUCUCAUUUUUUGGGACAGUGUAUGAAAUUUUACUUAUUUUUACCACCUUGACAACAGUUUUUGGUUGUCAGCAAGAUAAACAUUGCAAGAUACAUCUUUACCCAAAAAAUAACAUUGCAAGUUACAAAGUAAUCUUUAGGAGCCACGCGUGUCUUGAUGUGGAUCAUUAUAUGAAGUACAUAGAUGUGGUAGUUUAUAUGUGCCAAUAGGAAUUGGUCAAGCUAAAUUUUAGCACUAUACCGUUCAAAGAAAAUUUUAUUUUCUUUUCUUUUUUAUCGAAAUAAUUCUAUUGACCCCAAUUUUCAAGUAACCGUAGGAGUAUAAACAAUAUGUUCCACAAGAAACCUAAUCUGUUCUUGAUUAGAUGAUUAGUGAGAAAAAAUUAGCAUUAUCUUAAUUGUGCAGUGCUUAAAACUUUUGUGAAAUUUCAAUGCGGUCCAAGUGCAGCGAUAUGCCGGAAGAGAGAGCCUAAGCAGAGGAAGUAUAGGGAGAGGGACGAGUCUAAGCAGUACUAGUACAGAGAGGAGAUGGAGGAAUCUAAGCAUAAAUAGGAUGGAGGGCAUGGACAUGGAGGAGGCUAGGGUGAGUACAGGGAGGAGUGGAAUCAAAGGGAGUCUAAGCAUAAAUAGGAUGGAGGACAUGUACAUGGAGAAGGGCAGUGGGAGUACAGGGAGGAGGGGGAGAAGUGGAAGCAGCGGAAGCGGAGGGAGCAGUGGAAGCAGCAGAAGAGGGAGGAGCGGGAGCAGUGGAAGCAGCAGGAAUGGCAGCGGGGAAGAGGAAGUGGGGGAAGCAGUGAGAGGAAGUUUUCAAGAUAUUUGUUUGGGGGCGUUCUUGGUGUGCCUUUUUUGUGCAUUGUGUUUUAGCCUUUCUCUGCUUAAUAACAAGGAAACAAGUCGAUAAACAGAUGGGUUAUGGAUGCUUCUUUCAUUUUUUGAUCAGCAUGGGAUGGUAAACGGUGCCGUUCAAACUUGUAAGGAGAUUUUCCAUAGAUUUGAUAAGUAUCUCAACUUCUGUAAUUCAAUCAUCUCUGAAAAUUCUGAUCCCGGUGCUUGUGGUUGGGCAUAUGGUAUGAAAAUAUUUGAUCUCAAAGAGUGGAAGAAGAGAAACAUCAUGGGAAUAUAUCACCGAUAGCAGGAAAUUAACGAGGAUAGGACAUUGUGGAUAGUCGGUGUCUUCCCCCCUGGAUUGGUCACUUUCUACAAUCUGACUAAAUAGUUCGAUCAGAGGUGGCAUGCGUUUACACUCGGCUAUGAUCCAGCACUCAACCGGACAGAAAUGGACAAUGCAGCAGUCAUUCAUUACAAUGGAAACUGUAAACCAUGGUUGGAUUUGGCAGUCUCCAACUAUUUUGUAAAUCUAUGAUCAGUCUUGAAGGGGAACAAUGCAGCUGUGUAUGCUUAAUAAACCAAUGAAAGAGAAGGAACUUUGCAAUGCAAUUACAUUUCAACCUGACAUUCCUGAGAAUUGCCGACACGGUCUCGCGGGUUAGAGAACUGUCCUCCAAUGGAAGAUGGCAUGAAGUGUUAGUCCACUUUAACGAAGCGAAGUGAGCAGGAAUUGAAAUCACUGAGCCUUCCAUGAUUAAUUCUGUCGUCAAAGCGUCUUUCAAAGCUAUCCGAUAAACAAGGGAAGUCCAUCCAUGCUUGUGUGCUCAAGCAGGGUCUCGAUACAUUCUCUUCCAUCAGCAAUUCCAUCAUGGAUUCGUACAUGAAGUGCAGGGACUUGGAAUCCGCGUUGGGCGCCUUCCGGUCAAUGCAAAGCAGGGAUUCCGUGUCGCAGAAUGUGCUCACUCAUAGGUUUCUUCAUCAGGGAAAUUUGGGAUGAAGGUUGUCAUGAUUUCGGCGAGCCCGAGUUGAUGGAUUCGAACCCAAUGUCUCCACUUUGGUACUGGUUCUCCAGGCGCAUAUGUGGAUGUUGAUAUGGAGCAAGCAGAUGGACUUUCAUACACUCUUGAAGUUCAUCAACGAGUGGAGUGGGCACAUUGAUCUCGAUUCAAUCUUAGGAAUGCAGAGACAUUAUGCAAAUGUGCGGGGAUAGUUUGUUCAAAACAGAGAUGAACAUGAAAAGGCACAAGGUUUCAGGAUGUGCCCGAACAAUAUAUGAUGAAGUAUGAUUACCUGACUUAAUGUGAAAACAUUGGAUCAGCAUUUAAAUUAGGGGGAAAAUCUCUCCUUCCCCUGCCAGUGAGGUGUGUUGAGGCAAAACCAUCAAAUUUAUCACUAAAGGAUGUAUCAUUGAGCCCAAUUAAGUACUGAAAUAACACAUUCUAUUUUCUUUUCUCACAGGGGAAUAAUUGAGGCAAUUCCUGAUGAAUGAAGACAUGAAGCAAAAUGAAAUUGAUUCAACACAAGAAGGGUGUAUCGUUCCUAAAUUAGUCCAAUUCAAGUUUGAAAUGCAAGUAACAUGUCCCAUCUCUUGUAGGACAAGGCGCACAUCAACCGCGGGAGCGACGCCUUCUACCAAGUUGGCAUGCUAAGGCCCAACCAUCCAUUUUGUUGUAAAGGAUGUAUAUCGUUCGUAAAAUGAUUUCUAGUCAAGUGUGAAAAUAACAUGCCCAGUCUUCUAAAUGUCUCUUUGAGCAGAGCAUUCGAAAAGAGCAAGAAUUGAACUUUGUGGAUUAUCAUAUGCAGUAAAGAAAUGUUUUUCAUAAAUAAAAUCAAGGGAUAGAGGCAUUUUUCAAGCAAUCCUGUCACUUUAGGUGAUUUAUGUCAUGCAUAUCAUGCAUAUAUCCUUCAUAAUAUUUUCCUAACAUGUGUUGUCGUCAUUCUUGAUAGGAAAUGUCAGUACCCGAAAAACAAAAACACGUGAAGGGUAAAUUGUAUCGAUUCUAAUUGCUGAUUUUGAUACUGUUUCUAACGUGAUUUUCUUUUCCUUUGAUUUGGAUUACAUCAAACACUUGUAAGAGGUGUGGUACCAUUCUGAUUAGUGGUUCUGUUAAUGGUUACUGAUGAUUAUAACACAAGCUUGUAGGAUUUUUUAGUAGGAAAUGACAAUGAUAGUAGAUGUUCCAAUUAAAAAAGCUAGCACAAAUCGAGAAAGGGAAACAAAUUACUUGUACUUUGAGCUGUUCACAAGGUGAUAUGCUUCUUUUUGGAUUUAUGAGGUUCCUGUGUUUCUCAUAACCAUGAGGAGAGAAAAGGUUUUGGGGGGGGUGGUACAUUGCUAACUUGACGGUACCAUUUGCUUUGUAUCAUUUAUAUAUGAUGAGUUGCCGAAAGAUUGUCUCCCCUCUGAUUAACAUAACUUGUUCUUCACAUGCAGAGUCUUGACCGUAUAAUAUGUCAGCCUUUGGAAGGUACAAAUGCUCAAUACUAGACAUGCAAGCUAGGUUGCUGUUAGACACGCUGGGGAAGGGUAUUGAGUCUGCUUUGGUGUAUCCUCAAGCAUUAGUAGCUGAGCCAUGGUAGGCAUUAAGUGAAAUGUUUUCUGGAUUGAUUCUUGUAGGAGUUAUGUGAAGAUCAAUUUGUUGGAGAUAUGCGAGAUAUGCGAAUAUCAAUUUGGGAUCAUAAUCGAUCUAUAGUAUCGUUUCAAAAAUCAAUUUAGAAUUAGAUUUGAUAUUUUUUAUUUCUUGUAUUCGGUCUUAUUCCUUCUUUAGUUAUAUAUCGAUUGUAUUAUAAAUAGGAGCGUAUUCUUGUAAAGGACGAUUCAUUUAAUACAGAAUACAGAUUUCUCCCAAGUCUCCUUUUUCUUUCAUUUUGUAACAAUCGUGAAGCUCUUCCCGUUGAACUGGCACUUGUCCCAACUAUACAGGUACUUUCACCUUCAUUUUGAUUUUUGCUCUUAGAUCUCCUUGUUGUGACAUGGAAGUUUGAAAUGCGGAUCUUCUGGCUGUGUUUUUACCAUGGCUUGAGGCCGUUAUUUUGAUGACUAUCUUCAUAUCUGGCUUCUAAACUGAAAUUCCUUUAUGGGCACUGUGAUGGUGAAAUUUAUUUACAAAAGAUGUAGGACAAAUAAUCUUUUUAAGUAAAGAAACGUAGCUUUUGCUGAAAAAGUGGUUGCCCAGAUAUCUUUUGGCUUUCAAAUGAUGCUAUGUGAGAAAUAUAUCAAGAUCGUCAUUCGAUUCGUGAAAUAAAUGGCUAUGACAUAUUCUUGCAUAGAGUUGUCUUAAGGUUGCAUUCGCUUUCAAAUCCCAUGCAUUUGUCGUGUAUCCUGCAGCUGUCUCCUCCCCAUAUUGUCGACCUUUUCUUCAAUCAAGACCAUGGGAAUUGAUUUCAGCUGAGACAAAGUAAUGAGAGUAUACAUGUUUCAGACUCUCAAAAGUGUCUCACAGGCUUAUGUUGAUGCAGUUCUUGAUCUGG
rnacentral:lncRNA from 1 species